rnacentral:rRNA from 1 species
AUUGAACGCUGGCGGCAGGCCUAACACAUGCAAGUCGAACGAGUGGCGGACGGGUGAGUAAUGUCUGGGAAACUGCCUGAUGGAGGGGGAUAACUACUGGAAACGGUAGCUAAUACCGCAUACCCUCGGAUGUGCCCAGAUGGGAUUAGCUAGUAGGUGGGGUAACGGCUCACCUAGGCGGCGAUCCCUAGCUGGUCUGAGAGGAUGACCGGCCCAACUGGAACUGAGACACGGUCCGGACUCCUACGGGAGGCAGAAGUGGGGAAUAUUGCACAAGGGGCGAAAGCCUGAUGCAGCCAUGCCGCGUGUAUGAAGCAGGCCUUGGGGUUGUAAAGUACUUUCAGCGGGGAGGCGUUACCCGCAGAAGAAGCACCGGCUAACUCCGUGCCAGCAGCCGCGGUAAUUC